GACGAACGCUGGCGGCGUGCUUAACACAUGCAAGUCGAACGGAAAGGCCUGCUUUCCCUUGUGGAUUGCGGGUACUCGAGUGGCGAACGGGUGAGUAACACGUGUGUGAUCUGCCCCCAACUUGGGUAUAAGCCUGGGAAACUGGGUCUAAUUCCCGAUAGGACUGCAGGGUGGUGCCUGUGGUGGAAAACGAUUUUCUAGUGGUUGGGGAUGAGCUCGCGGCCUAUCAGCUUGUUGGUGGGGUAAUGGCCUACCAAGGCGGCGACGGGUAGCCGGCCUGAGAGGGUGGACGGCCACAUUGGGACUGAGAUACGGCCCAGACUCCUACGGGAGGCAGCAGUGGGGAAUAGUGCACAAUGGGCGGAAGCCUGAUGCAGCGACGCCGCGUGGGGGAUGACGGCCUUCGGGUUGUAAACUCCUUUCGACCGCGAGGAAGCCACCUGGUUGGAAGGGUGGUGACGGUAGUGGUAGAAGAAGCACCGGCUAACUACGUG
rnacentral:rRNA from 1 species